rnacentral:piRNA from 1 species
UCCAAGGCCAAAGUCCUGACAGAUGGAUCAC